rnacentral:rRNA from 1 species
GAUGAACGCUGGCGGCGUGCCUAAUACAUGCAAGUCGAGCGAACGGACGAGAAGCUUGCUUCUCUGAUGUUAGCGGCGGACGGGUGAGUAACACGUGGAUAACCUACCUAUAAGACUGGGAUAACUUCGGGAAACCGGAGCUAAUACCGGAUAAUAUUUUGAACCGCAUGGUUCAAAAGUGAAAGACGGUCUUGCUGUCACUUAUAGAUGGAUCCGCGCUGCAUUAGCUAGUUGGUAAGGUAACGGCUUACCAAGGCAACGAUGCAUAGCCGACCUGAGAGGGUGAUCGGCCACACUGGAACUGAGACACGGUCCAGACUCCUACGGGAGGCAGCAGUAGGGAAUCUUCCGCAAAGGGCGAAAGCCUGACGGAGCAACGCCGCGUGAGUGAUGAAGGUCUUCGGAUCGUAAAACUCUGUUAUUAGGGAAGGACAUAUGUGUAAGUAACUGUGCACAUCUUGACGGUACCUAAUCAGAAAGCCACGGCUAACUACGUG